GUGCUCACUUCAGCAGCAGAUAUACUAAGAUUGGAAUGAUAUAGAGAAGAUUAGCAUGGCCCCAGUACAAGGAUGAUGUGCAAAUUUGUGAAGCAUUCCAUAUUUUU
rnacentral:snRNA from 1 species